UACGGAGGGUGCAAGCGUUAUCCGGAAUCACUGGGUUUAAAGGGUGCGUAGGCGGCUAAAUAAGUCAGAGGUGAAAGCUUGCAGCUUAACUGCGAAAUCGCCUUUGAUACUGUAUAGCUUGAAAGGAGCUGAGGUCAGCAGAAUGUGGCAUGUAGCGGUGAAAUGCAUAGAUAUGCCAUAGAGUACCAAUUGCGAAGGCAGCUGGCUGGGCUUACUUUGACACUGAGGCACGAAAGCGUGGGGAUCGAACAGG
rnacentral:rRNA from 1 species